UACUUAUUUGGUCACAGGUUGUGUUGUUGUAAAGCAGCGGCAUUACUGCUGCGUGGCUGCGUCUGCAGGGUCAGCUAUGAGAGGAGAGAAUUGUGGUAUGGCUGUCAUGCCGGCCAGAACAGAAUAAGUGUGUCUGCGAUUGCUAGGGCUCCUGGCGUCUCCUUCCGGCCUCUUAGCUAGCGCCUUGCCUACCCUGGAUUCAGCGAACAGUGCGGGCAGUGGCUACAGCAAGACAAUUGGCGUCACCAGCAGGAUCAGCUAUACGGGUGUCCAAACAUGAACUCGUCAGCCUGGAGGUUGGGGACUCCUGCUCCAGAAGAAACGCUGUCCUCAAGAGCCUGCAGGUGGGACUGUUUUGCAGGUUUCUGUCAGUGAGGAGGGGGCGGGGUUCUUGCCUAUGAGGCGCAGGCGAGUUGCUUACCACCCCAUACCCAGGUGCCUGGCCCAGCUUCUCUGCACAGGGCCAUCGCCAUCUUGAAUUGAGGCACUGCACAGCGCUUGUCCUGCGGGCACACCGCGCUGGUGUGUUAAGUGCAGCAGUUUCUCUAUGGAAACUCUAACUGGACUUGUUACUUGCAAGGCCUCUGCACGCAACACUCUAUAGGGAAUAUUCCAGAUCCAGGGAUCAAACCCACAUCUCCUGCAUUGGUGGGCAGAUUCUUUACUGAGCCACCAGGGAAGCCCAGAUGAAACUAGACUAAGCCCUAAAGAAGAGGUUAGACCUCAUCACCUGGAUUACAUCUUAUUUUUUCACCCAUGGAGACCAGUCAGCUUUGCCAGUGACAGAACUAUCCAUAAAUUGAAUUGGCAGCUGGAAAUGAGGGAUCAACAUAGGAAACUGCUGUUUCCCAGAGGGAGCACACGACCUAUUCCUAAGCUGCUCUUCUCCCAAAUGUUAAUGCUGGAAGGUUGACCCCCCAAAAAAGGAGAUUCAACAGCCUGUUUUCUCAACCUACAGCUUCACCAUUUAUGAUUGCAGGAGAUUAAGAAACUACUUCAGUAAAUAAAUGGAGUCCAUUCAAAGAAUGAAAAUGUGAAGCAGAAUUACCUGAAUACACUUACAAAGUGGAUGUCAACUGAGAUCCUUUCAUAACUAAAAAAAGUUUAUAACCAAAUAUUUUCAUUCCUACCCCCUUGAAAUUGUUUUCUUUUUCUAUUUUCAAGCUUAUGAUUAAGCCACAAUAUAUAACAUUAUUAUUUCUUCCUGAUAUUUAAACCUUGAAUCAGUUUCCUCUAAUUAAAUACUCUUCCACAUCUGCAGUAAAUUUAUCUGUUAAAAAUUCAAAGAAGAUCAUAUUAUUUUCUGCUUUAACGACAUUUUAUAACUCUAGUCAACCCAGAUGUAGUUCAAACUUCUCUGUGUAAAUUCAAGAUAGUCCACCUUCUGUCACAUCUUCAACUUCUGUAGCACUAAAGUAUCCUCUUCAUCUGUCUAGACCAGGUAAAUGUGUUUUUGUUGUUUCUGUGAUAGACAGAAUAUCCCCAUAGUUAUAUCCAUGCCCUAACACUUAUAACCUAAGAAUGUGCUAUGUGACAUGGCAAAAGGGUUAACAUUUACAGACUUUAAAAUAGUGAGAUUAUUAUGGAUUACUUGGGUAGGUGCACUAUAAUCACAUGAGCCCUUAAAAGACAAGCACAUCUUCACCUGGACUUGAAGAGAGGUGGCCCAUGAAUAAGCUAUGGGGAUUGAAAGCACAACAAUGACUCAUCUUUGUUGCUGGAGGGCUCCACAGAGAAAGUAUAAGGAACUGGUCUGAACUAACAGCCGGCAGUACAACAGGGACUUCAAUCUGAUAACUACCAAAAAAAUAAAAAAUAAAACUGAAUUCAGUCAACAACUUGAAUGAGCUAAGAAAUGCAUCCUUCCUCAAUCUCUAGCAGGGAACCUAGACCUGUGGUUAAUUUGAUUUUGGCCUUAUAAGACCUAGAGCAGAGAAACCAGCUAAGACCUGUGAGCCGUGGACCUGUGAGAUACAAAAUAGAAGACGCCAUUGGCCCUGAGUCUGUGGGACAUUUUAUAGAAGCAGUAAAAAACUAAAGUCUCCCUUAGAAAUAAGCAUUACAUUUUAAAAUAA